UCUGUGCGCAGUAUUCCACCCUCUGCUCUCCCUGUCCUCAUUUUGGCUCAGGAUGUGACUGAAGUGCACGCCUUGCAGCAUUUCAACUUGCAGCCUUAUGCAAAAGAACGAGAACACUACUUUGGCGAAGGCAUUGAGGACUGCAGUUUGAAGAGGCAGAUAGGCAACAUCUGUAGACAUCAAGCAGUGACUGAUGGUCCUCUACCUUGAAGUCUUACGGAAAAAAAGAGCAAACAUUUGCUUCCAGGUUGUGCAAACUCCUGUCCCAGUUUAUCUCCUUGAAUCCGUUCAUGCUGUCCUAGCAGAGGAAGAUGAAUGGCCAUCAGCAGAAAAUACAUUUUUUGAAUUUGGCCUUGGUCCAUGGGAGGAAAAUAAUAUUGCAACAUGUCUUACAUAAGAAUAUAGGACCAGGCAAAUUCAUUCGUGUAAUGAAAUCAUACAUCCUCCAAAUGCUGCUGGCUCUCCAUGUCAGAAUAGACUACGGUGGAAAGAGUUGCUGAAGAGUACUAACAAUCUUCUGUACACAGAAUAGGUGAGGCCUAUUGUCAAAAGCAGGUCAUAAUUGUACAACAUUGGGAAAAUUUUGCCUGAAUAUCUUCCUCAAUAACCUUUACUCCGAGUAGAGACAGAGGGCAGUCUCCAGCUCUCUCUCCCCCCAUACUUCUCAAAGUAUCAGGGAUCGGAGCACCCCCCUUUAUCCCUAUCCCUCAACAGUGUUGUUUCUCCUCGCUUCCUCACUGGCUGAAGUAUUGAGGUUACAGACUUUCUGGUCCACCCAAUAGACGUUCUCCCUUGUAUGUGACCCUCUCUUGUAUCAUGUGUCACAUGUGUAAUUAAUUAACUCUGACUUCAUGCAGCCCGGGGUGGAGAAGUUAAUUACACUACUGAAUUUGCUAAGCAUGCCCAAAGUUUGUAAGUUCAAAUUGUUGAUAGACCUUCAUAACUAAAAUCUUGUUUGGUGAGGAUGUGCAGACACCAACUGGAUAGGAAUCUGCAAGCUUCUGCACAAGUCUGUGAGCAAGGGCAUCUUGUUUGUAAGCCUUUGUAUGAAUAAUGUUGUUAGCCUUGUUUGUAAGCCUCUUUUGUUUCACAUGAAGAGUAAAAGCAAGAUAUAAGAGAGCUACUGUAAAAGAGUUACUGUAAAAACACGUGCUUUAUAAGCACCAGUACACGCAAUUAUGACCUUAAUUAUUACAGUUUUAUGAAUUUUAAAAUAAAUGCUUUCUAAAUCA